UUCUUCUUCUUUUCUCUCAACCGAGAGAAACAAAACUCACCCCAUUUUGCUCAGCCGAGAGCCAUUCAACACCUAGCCGCAGGCCAAUGUAAAUUGAUGGCCAUCUAUUCUUCUGACCAUCGUCGGUGAUGGUCAAAACUCUUAAACUUAGACCAAUCUCGGCCUAAACAAACCGAAAUCCCUCCCAAUUCGAACUUGGAACCCCGAUUUGGGGGUUUUAAAAUACUAAAACUCUCUCCUUCAAGCUCUUACUCGUGAGGAGCACCCCCUCACCAACCUGUAAAAAGGUUAAGGACCUAAGCACUCUAACGACACAUACUCUGAAGAAGGAACCUAAAUGGUCGAUAUCUAUUGGAUAGAGGAUCAGCUGUUGUUGUUGGGACGUGAAACAAGGGAGUCCACGGGUAAAGCUGCCGGCGACAUGGAGCUGCUAGAGGCCAUGAGUGGAGCUGGGGUACUGGUAGCUGCUGUGAGGAGCGUGGAACCAGCUGGGUUGGUGGAAGCUGCUGGAGAGUUGCUGAAACGUGGAGAGACAGCUGGUGAGGAGAGGGGUUGAGCUGGAGAUAAAAAUGUUGAUUACAUGUGGGUAAUCAAGAAAUUGUUCAAGGUGAUUCUCAUGAUUUGUGGUCAUGAGAUCAAAUAUCUGUUGGACGAGUCUGCUCUGAUCCCUCCUCAGACGAUGAUUGAUGAAAAUGGUAAGUUAAUUAUAAAUCAGGAUUUUCGUGUUCAUAAGAAGCAAGACAGUUCUCAUACCUCCUGGCUUUAAUCAAUCGUUAGCCCUUCGAUUCUUCCUCAAUUGAUUGGGUCAGAGACUUCAACAGCCAUAUGGAGUUUUGUUUUGAAGAUGUAUUCUAAGCUAACAACAACAAAGUUUAUGAACCUCCAUUGUUGGCUUCGAUCGCUCAAGAAGGGAGAGCAAACGAUUCGUGAGUACUUUACGAAGAACAAAGAGAUCUGUGAUCUGCUUGCCACAAUUGGAAGUCCGAUCUCAGAAGUUGAGCAGAUUGUUACACUGUUAAAUGACCUUCCGCCUUAGUUUAAACCAUUUGUUGCUACGAUUACGGUGAGUCGUGAAUUGUAUACCUUUGAUAUUGUAACUUUUGUGAUCAUUGAUGCAGAGUCUCACAUUCGUUAUCCUCUGAGGAUGUCAAUUUGUAUCAAUUUGGCUCGUCAUCAUCGUGAUGAUAAUUUGAGAAGGAAUCAUGAUCGAGGAAAUGUUGAUCGUCGUUACCCUGAGGUUCGUUCUGGCCACAAGCGCACUAAGGAUCUGACAUGUGGUAAGUUCAAGGGUCGUCCCAAACAUCAGUGUCAAUUAUGUGGGAAACUUGGGCAUCUCUUUGAAAGAUGUUGGCACAGAUUUUAUCAGGAUUUCAAAGGAGUUGGGUCACAACGACCUCGUUCCAAUAGUGAAGUUUAAGUCAAUGUUUGCAAAUACAAGUUUGAUUCUUCUGAUGUGUGUUACAAUCAUUUUUUGUGAGUCCAUCUGUAGGUACUGUUGGGUCUAAUGAAGUGGCUAGUGAUAAUAAUGCCCAAAUUAACUCUCUCAUUACAAAGGGUGUAGUUCGAUUAAUGGUAAUUGGUUUCCAGACUCAGGUGCAACUCAUCAUGUCACCUUUGAACGGCUGGUUACUUCUUCAUGUUGUCAAUACACGGGUGCAAGUAAGGUGGAUCUUGGUGAUGGACCCAUUUUAGAUAUUUCUCAUGUUGGAAAACACUGUGUUACUAGCUAAUUCAUGUUCUUUAAAGCUUGAUAAUGUGCUUUUUAUUCCUCAAAUUACGAGAAAUUUGUUGUUUGUCUCUGUAUUCACUCUGGAUAAUAAUGUGUUUUUAAAGUUUCAUUCUAAUAAAUGUUUUGUGAAGGAUAAAGAAACUUGUAAGGUCUAGCUGUAAGGUAAAGUGAUUGAUUGUUUGUAUUGAUUUUCUUAUGUCUCUGAUCCUUGUGGCUCGCUUAAUCAACUUACUGUUACAUCAACCGUAUCACCUUCUGCAUCAUCUCCUACAUCAUGUGAUAAAUAUGUCAAUAGUUAGUGGUUGUGGCAUAGGAGUCUUAGCCAUCCUUCUUGCACUGUUAUGCAAUACUUGUUCAAUAAAAUUCCUCUUGAUGUGUCUGACGUUUGUAGUGCAUGUCAAUUAGGAAAAAGUCAUAGACAACCAUUUCAUAUGUCACCCACUGUGUAUAGUCAUCCAUUUGAACUUGUUGAAGCUUAUGUGUGGGGUGAUGCCCCUAUUAAGUCUAAUGGCUGGCAAUAUUAUGUGUCAUUUGUCAAUAUGUACAAAAAUUGUUGGGUAUACUUGUUGAGAACUAAAUCGGAUGUUUCGCAUGCAUUUACUAUGUUUCAUGCAAUUGUUAAAAAUCAAUUUCAGUAUAAUAUUUCAUCUCUUCAGACUGAUGGUGGAAGAGAGUUUUAGGCGAUAGCUAACAAUUUGGCAGCCUCGGGUAUUCAACGUCGAUUGUCUUUCCCUCUUAUGUUGCAAUAUAAUAGCGUUGUUGAAUGCAAGCAUCGUUAUAUAAUAAAUAAGGUCUUGACAUUGCUUGCAGAAUCGUCGGUUCCAAUUUAGUCUUAUGUUGUUCUCACGGCUAUUAUCUUGAUCAACAGGUUACCUACGAUUGUUCUUUGGGGUAUUUUGCCUUUUCAAAAAUUAUAUGGGAAAGAGCCUGACUAUCGUUUGCUUCUUGUAUUUAGGAGUCAGUGCUAUCCUUGCUUUCGGUCAUUGAACAAACAUAAGUUUGAGUUUUGGUCUAAACCAUGUGUGUUUCUUAAGUAAUCUCCUUGGCAUUGAGGUUACCAAUCUCUUGACAGUACUGGGCGUGUUUAUAUUUCAUGCAAUGUUUGCUUUAAUGAACAAUGUUUUCCUUUUGAUAAGAAAUGUGCAGGGGAUAUUGUUUGUACAAUAAAAGGCAAGGCAUCAUCUACUGGUUUUAUGCCUUUCCCUGUUCGAGUUGUGUCUUGUCCUGACAACCAGAAUAGAGGUGCACCUCAACAGUGUGUGUCGUCACCUGCUGCAGUUGAUUGUGUCAAUGAAUCCGUUUGUGACACUGCUACUCUUAAAGCUAAUGAUACCGCUGUUUUUUCUUGUAUUGCAUAUUCUAAUGAGCAAUUGGUGCAGAGUUCACAUAAUGACAGUAGGGUUGUGAUCGAGGAGCAACAGGGGUCUUUCUCGUGGGUGGUGUAGAAGGAUGUGGAAGCUGCUGAUCCGAUGGUGUCCAAUGGUGUGCCAGUAACCAAUAAGAACUCCAUGGUCACGAGAAGUAAGACAGGGAUGAAUAAGACCGAAGUUUAUCAAAUUUCUGUUAUUGAUAAUCCUUUAAAUAUGAAGAGUGCAUUGCAAGAUAAACAGUGGAGUAAAGUUGUUCAUUCGAACUUUGUUGCUAUAAUUGCUAAUAAUACCUAGGAUUUGGUUGAGUUACCUCCAGAUAGAAAGGCCAUUGGGUGUAAGUGUUUGUAAUACC